rnacentral:rRNA from 1 species
AUUGAACGCUGGCGGCAGGCCUAACACAUGCAAGUCGAACGAGUGGCGGACGGGUGAGUAAUGUCUGGGAAACUGCCAGAUGGAGGGGGAUACCUACUGGAAACGGUAGCUAAUAUCGCAUACCAUCGGAUGUGCCAAGAUGGGAUUAGAUAGUAGGUGGGGGAACGGCUCACCUAGGAGACGAUCCCUAGCUGGUCUGAGAGGAUGACCAGCCACCCUGGAACUGAGACACGGUCCAGACUCCUACGGGAGUCAGCAGUGGGGAAUAUUGGACAAUGGGCGCAAGCCUGAUGCAGCCAUGCCGCGUGGAUGAAGAAGGCCUUCGGGUUGUAAAGUACUUUCAGCGAGGAGGCGUUACUCGCAGAAGAAGCACCGGCUAACUCCGUGCCAGCAGCCGCGGUAAUUC